AGCAACAGAAAACCAAGUGAUGAACCCACAAUGAAAGGUCACAUAAUAUUUGGAAAGGGAGCUUCACUUUAUAUGGUAUUUAACAAAGGAUGAAAAUAUAAGAAAAGGCUGCAUUACCCGAUAGAGAGUGUUUGUUCUACCAAAGAUCAGUUCUCAGAACACAUUUUCCACUACAUCAUUUGUCAGAAAUCCAUCUAUUAGCAGAGCAAAGAAGAAUGGCUGUGAUCACCAGGACUUGGAAGCUAAGGCCCAGAGAGGAGGAGAAACUUGAUCAAAGUCAAUCAGACAAUGCAGAAUCGAGAAAAGUACCUGGACCUCUAUGCCCAUGCUUCUAGCAGCCAGCCUCCUAAAAUACCUCUAGUUGAAGCCAAAGUUAGAAUCCUUCUACGAAACUACAGGAUUAAAAUGGAAUGGUUACAUGACCCAGGCUUGACCAAUCAGAUCAUCCA
ensembl:lncRNA MAMDC2-AS1 MAMDC2 antisense RNA 1